rnacentral:rRNA from 1 species
UACGUAGGACCCGAGCGUUAUCCGGAAUUACUGGGCGUAAAGAGUUGCGUAGGUGGUUUGUUAAGUGAAUAGUGAAAUCGUGCGGCUCAACCGUAUACACAUUAUUUAAACUGGCAGACUUGAGUAUGGUAGAGGUCACUGGAAUUCCAAGUGUAGGAGUGAAAUCCGUAGAUAUUUGGAGGAACACCGAUGGCGUAGGCAGGUGACUGGACCAUAACUGACACUGAGGCACGAAAGCGUGGGGAGCAAACGGG